rnacentral:rRNA from 1 species
UACGUAGGGUGCAAGCGUUAUCCGGAAUUAUUGGGCGUAAAGAGCUCGUAGGCGGUUUGUCGCGUCUGCUGUGAAAACUGGGGGCUCAACCCCCAGCCUGCAGUGGGUACGGGCAGACUAGAGUGCGGUAGGGGAGAUUGGAAUUCCUGGUGUAGCGGUGGAAUGCGCAGAUAUCAGGAGGAACACCGAUGGCGAAGGCAGAUCUCUGGGCCGUAACUGACGCUCAGGUGCGAAAGCCAGGGGAGCGAACGGG